CAUUCUAGAGGCCUCUCGCCGCCGUCGAAGACAAAUACGCAGGAGAGGUCACCGGGGCCGCUUUAGCGUGGUGCCGCGCGGGUUCUGUCGCUUUUGCUUCACCGUUGGCCUAGCUGCGGAUGGACACUGAGGGAAUGGAAUUCCUACUGGAUGUGGUCGACAGGUUCCCAGUGCGGGAGGAGUAUGCAGAUAAUGUUGACCAUCCGGAUCCAGUCUUGCUCAUGUACCUUCUGGAUAAGGGGGCUGCGAGUCCGGAGAUUGGUCAGGCAGACGUUGAUUCUGGGGUAGCUGAGAUGGUGUGCGGAGGUGUGCUAACUGACGCUGAAGUAGGUGCCCCCCGUAGACGUGAUGAAUCUCCGACGAGGUCUGCCCAAUCAUCGGGCAGAGUCAAUCCACAGGCCCCGGCUGGACUAAGAGGCUUCGUUUGGGGAGUGCGCCACCGGACCGUGUGCCCUGUCCAUCAAGGAUGAGCGCCCUCGAGUUGUCAAUACGUAAAUAUGAUGAGCAACCAGACAAGAGUGUGGUCCGACCUGAGCUAGGUCUUAGUUUUGACUCGCUAGGGGAGGCGUACGAUUUCUAUAACUUGUAUUUGUGGGAAAUCGGGUUUGGCAUAAGAUAUGGGAAAAGCAGGCUCAAUGCCGAGAGGACAAAAAGCAUGCAGGAGAUAGUUUGUGGGUGUUCGGGGAAACCAGACGCUGAAAACAGCAGGUCCUGCAGGUGCAAGUGCCCAGCUCUGAUUAGGCUGCUAUGUGCAUCAGACAAUAGUUGGUACAUAACAGAGCACCGGGCGAGCCACAAUCAUUCGAUGUCGCUUACAAUGGGAGAGAAAGUGCAUUGGCCGUCUCAUAAACACAUAGAUGUGUAUACCAAGGAUUUGAUAUGAUAGUUGAGGGAGAACAACAUCAACCUUGGCAAGGUAUACAACAUAAUUGGAAUCUUCUUUGGUUCAGUUGAGAAGGUGCCCUUCACGAAAAGGACACUCAGGAACAUUUGUGGGAAGAUUAGUCGUGAACAGGCUGAAGAUGAAUUACGGAAGACACUGCAGGUGUUUGCCGACAUCUGGUCGAGUGACCCUGGUUUCUCCUAUGUGGUGCUCGCCGAGAAAGACAGCAAGGUGAAGAAUCUCAUGUGGGCUAAUGGGAGCAGACGGAUGCAGUACAGGUUCUUUGGCGACGUGGUCACAUUCGACACCAUAUACAGGACAAAUUUGUACGACAUGCCAUUAUGUUUAUUUGUCGGAGUUAACAAUCACUACCAGAGUAUCAUCCUAGCUGGCGUGCUGAUGCGUGACGAGCAAGAAGAGAGCUUUGAAUGGUGUUUCCAGAAUUCAUUCGCAUGAUGGGCGGACCUGCACCUAAAACAAUACUAACAGACCAAUGCAGGGCUAUGGAGGUUGCAAUCAAGAAAAUUUAUCCGAACACUGUCCACCGUUUGUGCAAGUGGCAUGUUCUGAAAAAGGCGAAAGAAACACUGGGGUGGCUUUACACAAAAAAAUGUGAUUUUCAAGCUGAAUUUCACAAAGUUGUUAACCACAUGCUAACUGAGGAAGAAUUUGAAUCAGCCUGGGAUGCGUUGCUUGAUAAAUACAAUUUGAGGGGGCAUAACUAUAUGACCCAAAUAUAUGAGACAAGACAUAAAUGGGCGAAACCAUAUUUCAGAGGUGUGUUUUGUGCGAAAAUGACGAGUACACAGAGGAGUGAGAGUGCAAACCACAUGCUGAAGACGGACAUGCCCCCUGCAAGCCCAAUGCAUGUUUUCGUCUGACAAUACAUGAGACUUCAAUUUGACCGGAAGCGCGAUGAAAGCUAUGAGGAAAAGAGGACAAUGAUUGGCGGCGUCGUGCGGCGGACUAACCUUGCGAUAGAGCGCCAUGCCAGCAAAAUAUAUACUAGGAAUAUGUUUGAGAAAUUUGGCCGCCUACUGGUAGAAGGAACCGCAGAGUUUUGCUGUCCUUAUUUGAAACGACGCAGAGUUGUGUCGUUGAGCACAUGUAAGGUUAUAUGCUUUUCUGAACAAUUUGUUAGCUAAACUGAAUUUUACUCCUGGCUGUAUGAUAUGAUAAGAAAUUGUAACCGUUUGUGUUCUUGAAAUGUUUAUGGUUGUCUGCACAAUUUGAUAACUGAAGAAAAUUUCACAGCAUGUCUAUCCUUGGCCAUGUAUAA